AAAGGUAAAGUUGUGUACUUCCAUCAUCUCCUCAAACACAAACCCUCUUCAAACGCUAUCUUUUAUCAUCAAAACCUUUCAUAAAUUCCUCAGCCCUUUGAUAUUUAUUAUAUUAUACUCUUCAACAACAACAUAAAUACCAUAAAGUUUUGAUCUUUAUAUCAUAUAUUCAACUUCUUUGUCACAAUCUUUGGGACACUUUCUAUAUUCCCAUGGAGGAGGUUCAAAAAAUGGAAGAAGGGAAGAGCAAGAGUCAUUUAAUUUCGCCUGCAGCUUUUGUUGAAGGAGGUAUACAAGAAGCUUGUGAGGAUUCGUGUAGCAUUUGCCUCGAAGGUUUCUGUGAUAAUGAUCCUGGAACGGUGACAAGCUGCAAGCACGAGUUUCAUCUUCAAUGUAUUCUUGAAUGGUGUCAAAGGAGCUCGAAUUGUCCUAUGUGUUGGCAAGCGAUUAGUCUAAAAGAUCCAUCUAGUCAAGAGUUAUUGGAGGCGGUAGAACAUGAAAGGCGGGUCAGAUUCAACCCACCAAGAACUUCCACAAUAUUUCAUCACCCCACACUUGGGGAUUUUGAAUUGCAACAUUUGCCAGUGGGUGUGAAUGACAGUGAACUUGAGGACCGAAUCAUCCAACAUCUGGCGGCUGCAGCUGCCAUGGGUCGCACCCAUCAUGUGGGUAGAAGGGAAGGUUCAAGGAACCGGUCAGCAGCUCAUAGUCGUCCACAGUUCUUGGUGUUUUCCACAAACCCUAAUGCACCUCCAGCUGUUGCCGUUUCGGCUUCUAGUGGUUCCGUUCAAGUGCAAGCAGAACCAGUUGAUGAACCGACUGCUGUUGACUCACCUAGGGCAUCAGCCUUAUAUACAGGUCGUGGGGGUGGGACGGUCCAACAUACAUUGACAUCUGGAAGGACUAACACCUCAGAUAGUCAACAUGGGACGUCAGUUAUUCACAGGAGCUCAGGUAGCGUAUCUUCACCGCCUGAUCAAGAUAGAGCAGGGCCAUCAGAAAUGCAAACACCUUCAGAUACAUGGAAAUCUAAGUUCAGUGCUAUUUCAACAAGAUAUAAAGAAUCACUAUCGAAGAGUACAAGAGGGUGGAAAGAUAAACUUUUUAACAAGAGUCCAUCUAUGUCGAGUAUUGGGUCAGAAGUAAGGAGAGAGGUUAACGCUGGAAUUGCUAAUAUGUCGCGGAUGAUUGAGCGGCUUGAAGUUCAAGAUAAUAAUAGUGAAGUUCAUGAUCAUGAUUCUCCAGCCAGUAAUUUAGCUGAACAGGUUUCAGAUGCAGGGGGAAGUAACCAUAAUCGCAUUGAGAUAGCUGGUGCACAUGGUGGUUUAAACUAGCCUCUUUUGCUACUUUUUAAGCGGUAAAAUUUUCUGCUGGCACUUGCCUUUAAAGGUUGUUGAAAACAGUUAUCCAGAUAGAGAGCUUUAUCACCUGGUGAACACUUCUAAAUCUUUAUAAUGUGCUUGUAAAUGUGCUGCUAUUUUAAUUCGAAUAUAGUAUCGUUGGUGAUCUUUUGAUUAUCAUUGUUACUGAUUCGACAUGUUUUAUUUAAUGUAUUCAAUCCUUGUCUAUGAACUAUAUGUCCAUUAGUUUUGUUAGGCUGUACAUAGAGUGGUACAGCCUAACAAAACUUUUGUUGUGAUGUUUGCUUGUGCUUACCGAAAUUUAAUUGUUCAAAGUAUAACCUGCUUUUUGGUA